rnacentral:rRNA from 1 species
GAUGAACGCUGGCGGCGUGCCUAAUACAUGCAAGUCGAGCGAACAGAUAAGGAGCUUGCUCCUUUGACGUUAGCGGCGGACGGGUGAGUAACACGUGGGUAACCUACCUAUAAGACUGGGAUAACUUCGGGAAACCGGAGCUAAUACCGGAUAAUAUUUCGAACCGCAUGGUUCGAUAGUGAAAGAUGGUUUUGCUAUCACUUAUAGAUGGACCCGCGCCGUAUUAGCUAGUUGGUAAGGUAACGGCUUACCAAGGCGACGAUACGUAGCCGACCUGAGAGGGUGAUCGGCCACAAUGGAACUGAGACACGGUCCAGACUCCUACGGGAGGCAGCAGUAGGGAAUCUUCCGCAAUGGGCGAAAGCCUGACGGAGCAACGCCGCGUGAGUGAUGAAGGUCUUCGGAUCGUAAAACUCUGUUAUUAGGGAAGAACAUACGUGUAGGUAACUGUGCACGUCUUGACGGUACCUAAUCAGAAAGCCACGGCUAACUACGUG